AGGAACAGACAAGCCCUCAGCUCUACCACUUUGGAGAGGGGGGGAUUGGACAGCAUGAGCCUUCAAUUGUAUCUCUUGGAUGACCAAGGAAGGCUGGAUUUCUGCACCUAAAAAAUGGAAGCACAAACUGUACAACAAAUACUCUCCAUUCAAGUUGAAGUUCUCAAAUAAGGUUCUUUUCAAGGUGUUGGUGACACAGAUAUGAGGAAAACAGAGUUGACUCAUGGUGAUGGAGCUUACAUUCUAUGGGGCAAGAGUGAGCAGAGGGUUUGAAAGGUUCACUCCAGCUACUCUGUUGACAAUGGAUUAUAGAAGACUGAACAUGGAAUCCAGGAGACCAGUCAGAAAACUUCUUCUCUUGGCCUGUUCUGGAGAAUGCUCCCCAUCAAAAAUAAUUGACUGGAGACAAGCCAAGUCAGGAUUCUCCCUGGGAUCAAUUUCUGAUGGCGCUUUCUUCAUAAACAGGGGGACCUUUUCAAAUUCCUCUUCCCACUGGUCCUCAUGAAAGCCGCCACGGUAAGGCUGGCUCUGGAACUUUUCCAGGAACAAGUCCGUGGCAUCGUCUGAGGUGGGGUCCUGCUCAGGUUACUCCAUAACUGAUGCCCUGCCCUCCAGCCCAGGUCCCGGCACCGUGAAGUGUAGAAAAUACUCUACAAUGAAUAAAAAUAAAAUACAAUAUUCAAGAUUUAUGAAUGCAAUAAAAGCAGUGGUCAGA
rnacentral:lncRNA from 10 species